GAUGAACGCUGGCGGCGUGCCUAAUACAUGCAAGUCGAGCGGACACACGAGAGUGCUUGCCCCUUCCGACGUUAGCGGCGCAGGGGUGAGUAAAAUGCGUGUAAACUUCCUAUUUCAUUGGGAAUACCUCAGGAAACCGUACUCUAUUCCCGAAUAUAUUCACCUUCGCACGACACAAUAGUUUAAGACCGUUCUCCUGUCAAUUAUCGAUUGACCCACGGGGUAUUAGCUAGUUGGUGGGGUAACGGCUUACCAAGGCAACGAUACGUAGCCGGUCUGAGAGGAUGAUCCGCCACACUGGAACUGAGACACGGCCCAGACUCCUACGGGGGGCAGCAGUAGGGAAUAUUGCACAAUGGACGAAAGCCUGAUGCAGCAAUGCCGCGUGAGUGAAGAAGGUCUUCGGAUCGUAAAGCUCUGUUGUUAGGGAAGAACAAGAGCAGGUUUAACCGAACGUAUUUUGACGGUACCUAAAGAAUAAGCCACGGCUAACUUCGUG
rnacentral:rRNA from 1 species